AAACAUCACUUGCUCUAUGUCCUGUCUCUCUGUCUAACCCUGAGCCACCCAAUUCUGCUUUUUCUAGGAGUUCUGAAAACACUAAAUAAUACUGUUUCAGUAUGUUAGCUAACAGAAUGUACAGAUAUCUUAAAAAUCAGAAAUCAGAUAGGAUGUUUUCAAGUGGGGCUUUAGAAGGAAGGUUUCAAUGCUGGCAAUUAAGUUACAGGCCCCGAAUGGGGAAGGUGUGAGGUCCCGCACCUUUUCCCUAUUUUCCAGCUCAGGGUCAAUCUAGUCUUUCUCACGCACUUCCUGUCAAUAUUACUAAAUGAUUGCCCUCACUUCAGAAGUCAAUGGCAAGUUACCCACACUUCUUUCUGACUUGGCUGUGAAUUAGGGCUUCCCACAACCCCCUCUUCAGGAGCAUGCUUGUCUGGCUGCCCAUCACAUGGAGGUCUCAAAGCAACGGAGCUCCGUUCCCGUCACCUCUCCAGAGUCUCCAUGUGUGAGUCAUUUCUGCUGGGGGUGUAUACGUUUUAAAGUCCUCGUGGAUGGAACACUUGGUAUCACAAAAAAAGAAGCUCAUCAAAGCCCUCCUCCACAGCCGAGCGGUCACAGGGCUGGCCUCAGGGAGCCACACAGCCCUGGGUUUCCUGGACAGCUGUGAAGAAGGAGCUCAUCAGGCUUCACAGCCAGGACCCUGGGGGAGCUGUUACGAGCACACCCAAGAACAAGCUCUCUCAGCAAUUUUCACUUACAGCAGCAAGGAGUCAGUUGGGAAAACACAUCUUCUUGGAAGGAGUUCUCAGCUUCUGAUUCCUCUCUUCUCAGCCCUUCACACACUCCCUGUCACAGUAAGAUAUUUCAAAAGCCAACCAAGAGGAUAUGGAGUCUGGAAUCUUGCUCAAACAAUCCUAGAAGGUGCCAGAAGCUUCUUUCUCCAAGAGGCCGCCACUUUGACUGCAGCCCCAAAUGAAUCUUCCUCAGAACUGUUUGUGAAAGUGGUUGCCGGCUGCCUGCUCCGGCCCCCCUUCUACAGCCGUGCCUCUCACCCCAUGCCCGCAGCCACAGCAGGCCGCUGCAGUACCGUUCCAGCACCCAGCUCGUGGGUCUCCAUGCCCUUGUGCAUGGUCUUCUUUCAGCCCGGGGUCCAGCUCCGGCCCUUACUGAGCCUUCAGAUCUCAGCUUAUGCCUCGGCUCCUCCAAAAGGUGGGCUGCCCUCAUCUCCUCCUCUCAGAAGGUCCCCUUUCCCCUAAAGUGGCAAGUCAAUGACAAAACCCCAGUGAGGCUCUCUCCCUACAUUUUGCCUCAUAGUGCAUAUUCUUCAUAUGACUAAAAUACCAUUUAAAGAGUGUCUGCUGUGUGCUAGACUGCUCAAUGCUGUACACAUAUGAUCUCCUUUAUUAUUCACCAGCAAAGUUUUAAGAGUGAUAUUCUAUCCCCAUUUAUGAAUCAAGAAGCUGAGAGUCCGGGAGAUUAAGUCCGUUGUCUGAGAUCUCAGACUCUUGAGAGAGUGGGGCCAGCACUCCUAACCAGUCGCUCUCGGCACCUGGAGUCCUCGAGGCGCCUUCAGCCAUCAUGUUCCACCUGCUGAAUGGAAUUUCCUUCCAGGGCCUGUCCCUAGGGCGUUGCCCCCACAGGGAGACUAGAGGUUCAGUCCAGACUUUCCUGGCCCCACCCUGAGCCACCCGCAGCCACCCUGAGGUAGGGGAGUUACUUCGCCUCUGUCCGUACAGGUUUUAUAAAUGUUCUAAACAACAAGGGGAAAAAGCAGCCAGUUCUUCCUCCACCUGCAUCCCAAAGCGGGAAGCCGCUGUUCAUGAGGCCUUCCUUGCACGAUGGACACUACCCGGAGCCGAGCUCUGGGCCCGCCCCCACCCUGGGCCGCCUCCUUCCUCCCAAGGAACGAUGCGGUGCGGUUCCCUGGGAGGGAAGGCUGCUGAAGAAAAUCAGGUUGACAUUCCUCCUGCGGCCUGCCAGAGACUCACGGCCUGAAGGAAGGAGGCGCUUCUAGAGUUGCUGUAAGAAGUCAAAUUCAUUCUCGUUCCUCGCUUUUGGAAGCUUGUAGGAUCUUCUGUGGGUCCACAGUAUUCUAAAUGUCACAGUGAUGAGCCCUGGUUUGGUCUGAAUGAACCGGAUGAGAACAGGUGCACAUGGGCGCUCAUUUCUCUUGAAGCCUUUUGGAGAAAGCUUAUCGUUUCCAUCGAUUGCCCUAAGCUUCCCUCGGCAUGACCAUGUGACUGUACAAGGGGAUAUUCGAAGUGGAUGUUAAGGUUGGAGGAGUUCACAAGCUGGAGGAGAAAGGACAGGCCUGGCAGAGUGCACAAAGGUGCACAAAGCUGUGUACAGGGGUGUAAGGGAUUUGCUGAAUGAAAGAAUAAGUAGAUACAGCACCAAGUGGACAGAGGACGUCGCCUGAGCAGGAGGCCAGGCCCUAGGAGCUCCAAGGAGGUGGGCUUCCGGCGGCAGCUGGGCAGACUGGGAUCUUAGACCUCAGUCCUCCUGACAGCCCCGCUGUGGUGCCCACUGGCUGGUAUUUGUGGAACGGUCUCCACUAUGUUGCCAGGGAAACGAGUCAUCCUGUCACCACUGCUCACCGCUGCUGGGCUGCCAACACCCACCACGCCCAGCUCAGAGGCUGCGGUCGGCCCGUUUCUGCCAGAGGCACAUGCACACUCGAUUUUAUAUCAUGGGUUUGCUCGCUGGGGUGGGGGUGCCGCCUGGGGUGAGGGUGUUACCUCUGGUUUCUGGGUGCCACCAACCAGUGUCUCUUGGCACUGAGUUCUGGGCGACCAGCUCCAGGGGAGAUUUGGAUGGUUGAUGGUCAGCACCCAUGGGUGCUGGUCCCCAAGCCCCCCUUACUGCUCUCUGGUUAGACUGGCACUAUCUCCCACCAGGAGCGCAGACCACACCACACCCACAACACACACCCACACCACCCCACACCCACACACACCCACACCCACCACCUCCCCCCACCAUACAUGCACACACACAAACCACACACCAUAUACACACCACACAUACACAUCAUACAUACAACCCCGCACAGAUCACAUACACCACAUUCACACCAUACCACAUAACAUAUACAUACUAUACACACACACACACUGCAUGCAUACACCACACUACAUACUACACACCACACAACACCAUACCAUACACCACACAUACAUACACACCAUACACAUAACCUGCCCACACCAUGCAUACAUACACAUAUACCCCACACCAUAUACACACCCCACAUACAACACACAUGCCACACAACACAUCCACAUCAUGCCACACAUAACAUGUACAUACCAUAAAUAUACACACACACACACCACACAACAUACCACACACACACACACGCAAAACCCACACAUCCACAGAAUAUGAUUAUAUUGCAAGUGAACUCACCACAGCAUCACAGACCCGGCUCUCUCACUCGGCUCCCAGAAGCAAUGGCUUUGGACCCAGAUAAACCUGGUUCAAAUCUUGGCUUGGCCACUUUCAGCUUGUAUGACCUUGGGCAGGUAACCAGGUCCUGCCGCGCUGGUCUCCUCCUGCGUAAGACGGAGCGGCACAGCAGUGUCCAGGCUGUGGGGAGGAUUAGCCAUAACCUCAAGAGCCAGAGGCUGCUCUCGGGCCAGGUGCUGGGUUACAGCUUACCUCCGUUUCCCCACUUGGGACCUGAUGACGUCACCAUGGAAGCUCUUUGGAAAGUGCUCUGAGAACCAGGGUAGACAGCAAGCAAGGCUGCACACCUGUCCUCAAGCUCCCAGGAACUUUGUCUCCCUAUGAGCAGGAGGCUUGUUACCUGCCACAGAGGGCAGCUCUGGCCAUUGUCCUGUCACCACAGCACUGACCCAACCAGGGGGCACCGUCAGAGUCCAGCCUCCCUGCGUGACAGCCCCUGAGAGUGGCAGAGAGGGGCCACAGCAACACCUCUCUUUGGAUUUCCCUGUGAUUUAUCAUCCCUUGGAGAUGACAUGUUCUGCUUGGAAAGGAGAUUAAUUGAAAACACACAUGUUUAGAGGGCAGAUCAUUUCAUUUAACAACAUUCCAGCUGAAAACCAGUUGCAGACAACAGCUGGAGCAUGUGUUCUCCCCUUGGCCGAGCAGCCUCUGUCUUAGCAAACCAAACUGGUCCGGGCUUCUCUGGAUGUAUGUUUGGUGUCUUCUCUGCUGACACCUCAGGCGGGAUUUCCUGUGACUCUGGCAGGGCUGCUCCUGAGCAAACCACCCCCAUUUAUACAACGGUUCAACGGAAAAUCUCCAACGAUGGCUGGCAAACACACAUGUUCACACACACACCCUGAAGAUGCAGAAUAUGCUUUUCCUGAAUGCCUGAAUAUGUGCUUAUUUACUUGCAGGUGUGUGCUGUAUGGUAGAAAGAGCAUGGGACUUGAUAUAAUAAUAUCUGAUUUCAAAUUUUGUCUCCACCAUGACAUUUAAUGUCUCUGACCAGACAGUAAACUCUCUGAGCUUCCGUUUUUGCUAUUUGUUUACUGAGUGGGGAUGGAAGGUUGCUGUAAGCAUUAAACUGGACAAAAUCGUGCAUGCAAGGACCUGGCCCAGACCAGCAUCAGCAGUUUUGGAAAGAGAAACCGUUCCCCAGAAACAUGUGACCCUCCCACCCCGUCCGAGGGGGGAGACGGCACCUGGGAGCCACAGAGCCACGGAGAUGUGGCCACCAGCUGCCCAAGCUCGUGCCCGCUGAACCAGAGUAACCCGCUUGGCUUCAUCUGCUCGUCUCCUGACCCUGCAUCUUCCAUCUCAAGUUCUGUUUUCUGCAUCUUGCCAUAUGGGCCCUUUUUGCCAAGUCAUCUCCACCAUUUCAGAAAGAGGAGAAGCCUGCGAGAUGGUCGGCACGGGGAAGCGUUCAAUAACUGUCCGAUGGAUGAACGAAGACUCAGGCCACUCAUCCACAAGCCCAAAGUGGUCGAGAGUGGAGCAGUCUACCCACGUGCUCUUGCAGAAAAUGACAGGGAAUCAUCCAAGGACACUUGUGACAGGUGAGGACUGUCCCUGUGGAGAGGGGCCGUGGGGACAGGAUCGACGGGCGACUUCUGGGAGCUGAGUGCCAGGGCUGUGGGCACGUCAGCUCAAGAGCGCCCUGCUGUCAGCAUCCCCCGUGACAGAGCUGAGCCCGCUCUAGUGACGCAAUGUCAUCCAUCCCUUACACCCAAG
rnacentral:lncRNA from 1 species